rnacentral:rRNA from 1 species
UACGUAGGGUGCAAGCGUUAAUCGGAAUUACUGGGCGUAAAGCGUGCGCAGGCGGCGCCGCAAGUCAGGCGUGAAAUCCCCGAGCUCAACUUGGGAAUUGCGCUUGAAACUACGGUGCUGGAGUGUGGCAGAGGAAGGUGGAAUUCCACGUGUAGCGGUGAAAUUCGUAGAUAUUGGGAAGAACACCGAUGACGAAGGCAGCCAUCUGGACCGACACUGACGCUGAGGCGCGAAAGCGUGGGGAGCAAACAGG